CCAGUUCACUCAGCUGUAGAAAUGGGUUGCGACGUCACAGGUGCCAAGCUGUAUCAGCCUUUGCCUUUCUCUUGAAUAACAUCUGUGGCAUGGAGAGGGGAGAUUAUAAGCAUGAGCAACUGCUGCUUAUCCAUAAACAACUUUACCCAGACUUGUGCCUCGGAGAGGAACUUUCUAGGUGUAAUCCCACGGUCAUUCAUGACCGAAGGGAUGUCCUCUGUCUCUUCA